UUUUGAUUUGAGCUGCUUUGAUUAAUCUUCUUAUUUGUGAGUGUGUGAAUUCAAGGGGACUGCUAAGUUUCUAAAGUUGCUGGGCAUUGCUCUCUGGUGGAUGGCUCAGCUAAAGAACGGAGAGAGUUCAUCUAAUCCAUGAAGUUUGGAUCCUGAAGAGUGAAAAACCCCAGGAGAGCAAACAUCCCCAAAAGAACAACUGCACUAUUUUAAAGGUUGCCUCUGAGCCUGAACUAUUAGACUGUUAACAGAAAAGCAAUGCCUGGAAAUUGAAAUGGGUUAAACUACGAGGUUGUGGUUUGAAGUUAUGUGUCAUACUACUUUCAAGGCAAGACCGAAAACCAAAGUGCUAACUUCUAUGGACAUUACAAACUCAGCUAAGCUGUAUUCCUCACCAGGUGGCAAAGGCUGGACCGAAGGCCUGGAGAAACUGGGAGUGUCUGAUUGUCCCCAGUCGUCUGCUGUUCUGGCUGCUGAGUGGAAAGGGAGAGGGCUCGCAGGUUGAUUGUAGUUCCCAGUAACUGGAGGUGACAUUUGAAAGCUCAAAGCUAUUGAAAAGGCCAACCUGCUAUACUAGGCAACCCCUCUGGCCUGGCCAGCCCCAUGCUGAUGGCUAAAUUCAAUAGCUCUGGGACUUUGAGAUGAAGAAACACACCUGUGGAGAGGAUAUGAUGCCUACAGUGACAGAAGAAACAAGAGAGAAAAGUUCAGAUUUAAACCAAGGCUCUGCAGCCCUGACUCUGCAGGACUCUUCUCCCAGCCAAUUUUGUGAAAUAGACAGCCUUAAGUCUUCCCUGAUCUGCACAAACAAGACAGCCUGGCAUUUCUGGGAGUGACUGCAUACCUGCCCGUCUUCUCAGGCUCCCAGCUCUCUGAAAGAAAGAAAAUCACUCCAAGAAAGAGAAACAGACAUCAGACUUCAACUGACAACACACAAAAUACAAAAUUUGGAUUGCAGGUACUGAUUUCCAUCUUGCAUCCCGCCAGUUGCUCCAUGAAAGUGAAGCCCUCCUGACAUCUGAGUCAGUGGUCAAUCUGCAUGUGCCAGGCCCACGAGUUCUGCCGGACCUCAGCAAGGACUCUUGGCUAGGCAUCACGUUUCCUA